GACGAACGCUGGCGGCGUGCCUAAUACAUGCAAGUUGAGCGCUGAAGGUUGGUACUUGUACCAACUGGAUGAGCAGCGAACGGGUGAGUAACGCGUGGGUAAUCUGCCUUUGAGCGGGGGACAACAUUUGGAAACGAAUGCUAAUACCGCAUAAAAACUUUAAACACAAGUUUUAAGUUUGAAAGAUGCAAUUGCAUCACUCAAAGAUGAUCCCGCGUUGUAUUAGCUAGUUGGUGAGGUAAAGGCUCACCAAGGCGAUGAUACAUAGCCGACCUGAGAGGGUGGUCGGCCACAUUGGGACUGAGACACGGCCCAAACUCCUACGGGAGGCAGCAGUAGGGAAUCUUCGGCAAUGGACGAAAGUCUGGCCGAGCAACGCCGCGGGAGUGAAGAAGGUUUUCGGAUCGUAAAACUCUGUUGGUAGGGAAGAACGUUGGUGAGAGUGGAAAGCUCAUCAAGUGACGGUAACUACCCAGAAAGGGACGGCUAACUACGUG
rnacentral:rRNA from 1 species